rnacentral:rRNA from 1 species
AGCUUGCUACUGGAUUCAGCGGCGGACGGGUGAGUAAUGCUUAGGAAUCUGCCUAUUAGUGGGGGACAACGUUCCGAAAGGAGCGCUAAUACCGCAUACGUCCUACGGGAGAAAGCAGGGGACCUUCGGGCCUUGCGCUAAUAGAUGAGCCUAAGUCGGAUUAGCUAGUUGGUAGGGUAAAGGCCUACCAAGGCGACGAUCUGUAGCGGGUCUGAGAGGAUGAUCCGCCACACUGGGACUGAGACACGGCCCAGACUCCUACGGGAGGCAGCAGUGGGGAAUAUUGGACAAUGGGGGGAACCCUGAUCCAGCCAUGCCGCGUGUGUGAAGAAGGCCUUUUGGUUGUAAAGCACUUUAAGCGAGGAGGAGGCUACCUAGAUUAAUACUUUAGGAUAGUGGACGUUACUCGCAGAAUAAGCACCGGCUAACUCUGUGCCAGCAGCCGCGGUAAUACAGAGGGUGCGAGCGUUAAUCGGAUUUACUGGGCGUAAAGCGUGCGUAGGCGGCCAAUUAAGUCAAAUGUGAAAUCCCCGAGCUUAACUUGGGAAUUGCAUUCGAUACUGGUUGGCUAGAGUAUGGGAGAGGAUGGUAGAAUUCCAGGUGUAGCGGUGAAAUGCGUAGAGAUCUGGAGGAAUACCGAUGGCGAAGGCAGCCAUCUGGCCUAAUACUGACGCUGAGGUACGAAAGCAUGGGGAGCAAACAGGAUUAG